rnacentral:lncRNA from 1 species
UAAGAUGUUUUCAUUUCCUAGUCCUAAACAGCACCACGAUAUCAUGGUUCAUUCCUUCAAAACUCAUUAUAAACAAAGUAGCAGAUUUCAUAGAUUAUUUCAUAGUUCAUCGACCCUGAGGAGCAUUUAUGCCCUUGGCAUAUACAUAAUACAUUGACAACAGUGUACUACUAGUCCAAAUGACAGCUUUAACCAAACCUAUCGAUGGUUCAACUUUCUUAACUAUCAGAGAAAUAUUUAAAGCCAACUAAUCAAAAUUUUCUCAACGCUUGAUAGUACAACUAAUUUGGGGGGAAAUGGUUAUAUGUCCCCACAAAUGAUAUGUGCAAUCUUUGCGGGAUGUCAGAAUUUCAAUGGUUACUCUCAUUGAGAAGAGGAUGGCACAAAGGAUGGGGCAAUUUUCCGGUUUUCUUCAUUCACAAACUCAAAGCCAUACCUAUCCGAGGGAGGUUGGAUACAUAUAUAUAGCCAUAGCUGGCUGCAAGCCUAUUGCUGCACCCUCCUAGUCUAAAAUUCGAAAUUUGAAUGGGAUGAUGUCCUAGAGGGCAUCCAAACUGAAUAAAGCAUAAAGGAGGCAUAAAGAAGAUGCUAACUGCUGCUGUCCUGCUAACCGCAGCUGUCCUAGCAACUGAAAAUAUGCUAAAGGAGCAGAUGCUGUCCUGAAAAGGUGAAACUACCUAAAAGAAAAGGAAGAACCACGACCAAGGACCACAAAGACUUAUCCAUCAUUCUCCCCUAAGUCUUGUGCGUCGUCUUGUGGGGAAGUUGGGCCAUCCCGAUCCUGGAGCAGAGCUCGAGGAACUUGAUCCUCCCAAGAGGCUUGGUGAGCAAGUCCGCAAGCUGGUCCUUGGUGUUGAUGUAGCUCGCGUUGAUGCUCCCUUCCUCCAAGUAGCCUCGGAUGAAGUGGUACCUCACCCGGAUGUGCUUGCUCCGUUCGUGAAAAACAGGGUUCUUUGCCAUGGCCAGGGCGGACUUGCUAUCCAACCUGAGCUCCACCGCUCCAGUGUCUCUGCCGAGGAGAUCACUAAGCAGUCGAGCAAGCCAGAGCGCCUGGGUCAAAGCGGCGGAGGCCGCCAUGUACUCGGCCUCGCGGCUGGAUAGGGCCACCACCUGCUGCUUGACCGACUGCCAGCUAACGAGGCACUCGCCGUGGAAGAAGAGAAUCCCGCUUGUGCUCUUGCUGGUGUCGAUGUCGCCAGCGUGGUCGCUGUACCCAACGAAGUGUGCCUUGCUAGGACACCUCGGGUAGUAGAGACCGUGGUCGAGAGUCCCCGCAACAUAGCGAAUGAUCCUCUUCACAGCCUGCUGGUGCUCCGUCGUCGGUCGCUGCAUGAACCGAUUGACGUAGCCGACGGAGAAGGCCAAGUCCAGCCGUGUGUGGGUGAGGUAGCAGGCUCCCCACAAGACGCCAGUAUUGUGUAGCAUCCACUUCCUCCGUCGUGCUAUCGCGGCUCAGCUUCAGUCUCUCCUCCAUCGGAGUGAGAGCUGGGUUGCAAUCGGUGAGCCCAGCCAGCUCAACGACGCGCUUGGCGUAGGCGGUCUGUCGAAGCGUGAUCCCGGAGUCGUCCUGGUGCACCACAAUCCCCAGGUAGAAAGAGAGGCCAUAGAUCACUCAUCUGGAAGGUGGCCUUCAUCUCCUCCUUGAACGCCGCGACCUCCGCAUCCUUGGUGCCGGUGAUCACAAAGUCGUCGACGUAGACACCUACCAGCAAGGCAUUUUCUCCAUUGCCCCGCCGGUAGAUGGCCGCCUCGUGCGGGCUUUGCUCGAAGCCCAUCCACUUGAGCGUGGAAUCCAACUUGGCAUUCCACGCCCUCGGUGAUGGAUAAGUCUUUGUGGUCCUUGGUCGUGGUUCUCCACGAGCGGGAUUAUCUUCUUCCUCGGCGAGUGCCUCGUUAGCUGGCAGUCGGUCAAGCAGCAGGUGGUGGCCCUGUCCAGCUGCGAGGCCGAGUACAUGGCGGCCUCCGCCGCUUCGACCCAGGCGCUCUGGCUUGCUCGACUGCUUAGUGAUCUCCUCGGCAGAGACACUGGAGCGGUGGAGCUUAGGGUAGAUAGCAAGUCCGCCCUGGCCAUGGCAAAGAACAUCGUUUUUCACGAACGGAGCAACCACAUCCGGGUGAGGUACCACUUCAUCCGAGGCUACUUGGAAGGGAGCAUCAAGGCGAGCUACAUCAACACCAAGGACCAGCUUGCGGACUUGCUCACCAAGCCUCUUGGGAGGAUCAAGUUCCUCGAGCUCUACUCCAGGAUCGGGAUGGCCCAACUUCCCCACAAGACGACGCACAAGACUUAGGGGGAGAAUGAUGGAUAAGUCUUUGUGGUCCUUGGUCGUGGUUCUUCCUUUUCUUUUGAGUAGUUUCACCUUUUCAGGACAGCAUCUACUUCUUUAGCAUAUUUUCAGUUGCUAGGACAGCUGCGGUUAGUAGGACAGCAGCAGUUAGCAUCUUCUUUAUACCUCCUUUAUGCUUUAUUCAAUUUGGAUGCCCUCUAGGACAGCAUCCCAUUCAAAUUUCGAAUUUUAGACUAGGAGAGUGCAGCGAUAGGCUUGCAGCCAGCUAUGGCUAUAUAUAUAUGUAUCCAACCUCUCUCGGGUAGGUAUGGCUUUGAGUUUGUGAAUGAAGAAAACUGGAAAAUUGCCCCAUCCUGAGUGCCAUCCUCUUCUCAAUGAGAGUAACCAUUGAAAUUCUAACACUCGGUGCCUGCCGCAAGCUGUAGAGAGCCUUGUGCAAGCGUAGCACCUUGCAUUCCUUGCCGGGGAUCACAAAUCCCGGCGGCUGGUGCACGUAGACCUCCUCAAGUCGCCGUUCAGAAACACCGACUUGACGUCCAUGUGAUGGACGCCCCAGCCUUCCUGAGCAGCCAGCGCAAGGAGUCGCACGGACUCCAUCCGUGCCACGGGAGCGAAGGCAUCGUCAUAGUCGAUCCCCUCCUGCUGCACGAAACCGCGUGCCACCAAGCGAGCCUUUUGCUUGACGAUGGCUCCGGCUUCAUCCUCUUCAGCUUGAACACCCACUUAAGGGUGAUCGCACGGUGACCACGAGGGAGGUCAGCAAGCUCCCAGGUGCGGUUCUCCUGAACCGCGUCCAUCUCCGACGGCAUCGCGGCACGCCAUGCCGCGUGUUUCUCGGCCUCUGCGAAAGACCGAGGCUCACCGUCGUCGCACGCAAGGUGCAACUGCGCCUCCAGGUCGCGAGGCACCAGUCCCGGCACCGGCUGGUCGCCGAGAAGAUCCUCCAUCGUACGGCACCGUAGCUGCUCGCCGUCGUGGUACGCAUCGAUGCACUCCCCGUCGUGGGAGAGCGGAGUAGCGAACUCCACCGGGCUGCACUCAACACGAGCUGGCGUCGGAGUAGACGUGCCCGGAGGAGUGGCUGUUGGUGCUGGAGCGCGUGGUGUCGCCGGCUGUGGUGGUGUCGGCGAAGAGCUCGUCGUAGUCGAAGUCGUGGCCCGAGGGUGUGUUAGUGUCGGAGUUCGGUGGAGGCUCGGGAACUGGGGUAGACACGCUCGGUGAAGAAGAGCUGCCUGCUCCCCUAGCUCCCUCGAAGUGGACGUACUCGACGGUGAAGUCGUCGUACGUCGGAGUCGAACCAUCGUCCACUGCCUUGUCCCAUACCCACCCUCGCCCUUCGUAGAACACUACGUCGCGCGCUGUGCGCACACGCUAUCUCCGGGUCGAGGAUGCGGUAGGCCUUCGAGCCCUCCGCGUAGCCGAUGAACACCCCUGGGGUGCUCCUGUCGUCGAGCUUGCCGAUGUGGCCAAGCUCCUUGACGAACACGAGGCAGCCGAAGAUCCGUAGGUGGGAGACUGCCAGCUUGCGCCCAUGCCAAGCCUCGUAUAGUGUCCUGCCAUCAAGGGCCUUAGUAGGCAAGCGGUUGAGGAUGUAGACGGCCGUCACCACCGCCUCUCCCCAGAAGAUGGCCGGCAUCCCUCUCUGCUUGAGAGCCCGAGCCAUCCCCACAACCAUCUGGUUGCGCCACUCGACGACGCCGUUCUGCUGCGGGCUGUACAGCACAGUGUAGUGGCGCUGAAUGCCCUCAUCAGCGCAGUACAACGCGAAUUCAGCGGCCGUGAAUUCGCCGCCGUUGUCGGUGCGUAGCACGCGCAGCUUGCAGCCGCACUCCACCUCUGCAGCAGCCUGUGCGCGCCUGAUGGCGUCUGCAGCCUCUCCCUUGCUGCCGAGGACCAUCACCCACAUGUAGCGGGAGAGGUCGUCGACAAGCAGCAGGAAGUAACGUCGUCCUCCUGGUGUGGCCGGUGUCACUGGGCCACACAAGUCCCCGUGCACGAGCUCGAGCCGCUCCUUGGCUCGGAAACUCGUCUGCUGGGGAAAGGGGAGCCGCCUCUGCUUCGUUAGGACGCAGACGUCGCAGAGCUGCUCCACGUGGUCAAGGCACGGCAGGCCUCGCACCAUCUCCUUGGCGCUGAGCCGCUUCAGGGCCUCAAAGUGGAGGUGCCCGAAACGCUCGUGCCUCUGCCACGCCUCGUCCCGACGAGCGGCGAGGCAAACUGGUUGUGCGACCUGCGCACUGAGGAUGUAGAGUCGAUUAGUGCCUCUGGUUACCAAGAAGGUGACGGCGGCGAUCCCAAAUCCUCAUGACUCCGUGCUCGACCAACACGCGUGAGCCGUUCUCAUCCAGCUGCCCCACGCUGAUGAUAGAGUUCCUCAACACGGGGAUGUAGUAGACUCCGGUGAGCAGCCUGUGCUCACCGGACUUGGCGGUGAAGGUGACGGAGCCGACGCCCUUGAUCUCCACGCGGGAGGCGUCCCUAAACUUGACGGAGCCUCGGACGCUAGGGUCAAGCUCGGUGAAGAACUCCCGUCGGCCGGUCAUGUGAUGGGUGGAGCCGGUGUCGAGGUACCACCCAUCACCCUUGUCGUUGCUGGAGCCGUUGCAGAGGGAGACGAGUACCUUCGGCUCAUCAAGGUGGAGGAAAGCCUCUGCGGCCGGUGCCGCUGGAGGUAGCUCGAUGCUUGCGUGUGCCAGGAGCAGAGCCGGCUCUUCCUCCACCUGUGCGACGUGGACCUGGCCACGUCGUGGCUGUCAAGAGUCUUUGGCCCAAUGGCCAAGCUUGCCACAGUUGCGGCAGGUGUCGUCUCGUGUCGGCUUGUGGUUGCCGGCGGCGGCGCCCUGGGCACCUCUGCGAGCACCACCCUCGGCGCGUCUUCGCGGCCACCGCAGCUGGACACCUCCACGCGCCUUGCGCGGCUUGCGGCCGCCUGUCGAGGGAGAAGACUCCCCCUUCCUCCCGUCACUCUGAGAGGCAUCCCACUGCUCCCGAGUGAGAUGGAGCUUCCCGCCGAUGGUGAUAGGCCCCAAGAGAGGUUGUGGCUCAUCACCAUCGACGACCUUGAGGCGACCUAACGCCUCCUUGAUCGACAUCGUGGAGAGGUCCAGCAGACUCGAUCGAGCGAGCGAUCUGCCUAUACUUCUCUGGGACGCAACGGAAGAGCUUCUCGACAGUUCUCUCCUCAUCGUAGGAGUCGUCGUCGUACUGCACCAUCUUCUGCAAAAGAGUGUUGAGACGGAGGGCAAAGUCAUCAACAUCCUCACCUGGCUUGAAGACCAGGUUCUCCCACUCCUUGCGGAGUGCCUGCAGUGUGGACUUGCGGGCGCGGGCGCUGCCGAUGCGUGCCGCAUCGAUGGCGUCCUAGGCCUCCUUGGCAGUCCGCUUCUAGGAAAGCGAGAACCGCAUCUCGGGAGGGACUGCGGUGAUGAGGGCAUCCAGUGCCCGCCGAUCUUCGUCGUAGUCGACGUCGCCGUACCGGACUGCCUCCCACAUGUGCCGCACCUGGAGCCUCACCCUCAUCACCGCGGCCCACUCGAUGUAGUUGGUUUUGGUGAGGGUAGGCCACCCACCGCCGGGACCAAAGUCCCUGACCACCGUUUGGACACCGUGGUAGCCAUAGCGCCGGUCAGGGGAGGGAGAGUCGCACUGCCUGCGAUGGCCGCGCUCUCCGUCGAACCAGCCACCUCCACCGGGAGCGCCGCCGCCACGCGCGCGCUCCGGGCUGCCGCCGGCACUCCCGCGCCCAUCUGGGUUCCCGUCGACAGGCGCGCGGUCCCUUGGGCCGCCGCCGCCGCCGUGGGGGUGGGCUGCUGCCCACCGCUCUGCCCGCUCCCGCGCCCUUCCUCUUGCCAGCUCCUCAAGCUCCCUGUCGGCGGUGAUGUCGCUGGCGAUGGAGCCGUUGAUGCUGCUGCGCAAGGUCUCAACCUCUACCUCCGCCGCACGUGCCACAUCUUCCGCCGCCUCUGCUUCCGCCUCCACCCUGGCUGCUGCCAACUCCGCUACCGCCAGUCUGGCCGCCCUCCCUGCUGCUGCUACGGUCUGAGCCGUUGCUCGCCUGCGCUUUUCUGUUGCGGCGAGCUCGGCGUCUUGCUGACGCCGAGUGCUCGAUGCGACCGAACGCCGAGACCGAACGUCCGACAUGGCGCGCCUCCGGGGGGCUGCUGCGUGGAGAGGGGGAAGGGAAAGGGGAAGGAGUAGCCGGUGCUGCUCCUGCUGGCUGAGAGCUCAACCGAGCUUGGGAAGGGGUGGAACAAGAGAUGUUUAGCCUACAGGAAAGUGUGGCUCUGAUACCAGAUGUUAGAAUUUCAAUGAUUACUCUCAUUGAGAAGAGGAUGGCACUCAGGAUGGGGGCAAUUUUCCGGUUUUCUUCAUUCACAAACUCAAAGCCAUACCUACCCGAGGGAGGUUGGAUACAUAUAUAUAGCCAUAGCUGGCUGCAAGCCUAUUGUUGCACCCUCCUCGUCUAAAAUUCGAAAUUUGAAUGGGAUGUUGUCCUAGAGGGCAUCCAAACUGAAUAAAGCAUAAAGGAGGCAUAAAGGAGAUGCUAACUGCUGUUGUCCUACUAACCGCAGCUGUCCUAGCAACUGAAAAUAUGCUAAAGGAGUAGAUGCUGUCCUGAAAAGGUGAAACUACCCAAAAGAAAAGGAAGAACCACGACCAAGGACCACAAAGACUUAUCCAUCACGGGAAGCAUAUAGCUGAAUCCCCAUUUUUAAGAGAUAAACAGCAAUUUUCAGAACUCAAUCAGUUCAACUAGAUUAACAGUUUUACAUGUAAGAAUUCAGCAUUCACAAAGUUUUGCUAGCCCAUGAUUAUUGUUUUUCAGAUAAUAAAAUACAUGCAUAAGAAUUUCUGACACAAAAUGCUAUGGAUUUGACAUAGGAUAGGGAAGACUGGGGGAUAGGGCACCCCGCUCUCUACGAGGGCCAGAAGAGCUUCUCCCCAUCAUGAUAGAGGCUAUGAGGAAUACUGAAUUAAACUUUGUAGAUUCAUUGCUUAUUUCAUAAUGGAUUGCAUGGGCCCUUUUAUAGGGAGGAUGUCAGUGCUACAUAAACCAUAAAUUGUCACUCGGGAAUGCUUCCUAGUAAACCAUAUAUUUAACUUCCCUAACUAACAGUGAGGAUAUGUCAUAGGUAGGGGCCGAGGGGUCGAGGCCCAUGGGCCCAACCCCUGGCGAGUGAACAGUACCCGCGGUACUGUAGCAGUAGGUUGGGUGAUAGGAUAGGAUUAAGAAAUAGAUAAAUCUAGAUUAGAUCAAGUUAGUUACCUAGGGGUUAAGUUUCUCCAUCUAUAUAAGGAUGGGACUAUAUCGUUAUUCUAAUUAAGCAAUGAAUCAAGAUUAGUCUCCCCUAACCUAAGUCCCCCUCUCAUCCCUAGCAGCCGUCACCGCCCGGCUAUCCUCCCAGUGGUGUUUAUCACCUAUGAACCAUAACCCAUAAUAGGAUAACAAUAAACUAAUUCAUAUGCACUAAUCCCAAUGUAACACAAACUAACAAGAUUGAUGGCCUUAAAGUAACGAAGUAUUUAAGCAAGUUACAGUACUGAAAUAAAAAGCAAUAAGCAAUGCUACUAGGUGGACAUAACUAUCAUCCUGUAUAUAUGUGAGCAAGUGUCCAACCUAAGGAAUAUUCCAAUUAGACUACAAAGAUUUGAGUCAGUGAUAUCAAACUUCAAACCUCCCUUAAUUAUUACAUUUCUCAUGUUCCUAGAAUGCAAAUGAGAGAACCAAAAAAAAGCUUGCAUGCAAAUUACAGCAAAGAGAGAGAUAGAGAGAGAGACAGACACACACACACACACAUAGAGACAGAGAGAGAGAGAGAGAGAGAGUCAGGUGUUAAUCCAUGCCAACUGUUCCAAACGAAAAGAGUCAGCAGCAGAGGCUCAAAGGGCGGUGGUGGCUGGCACUAUGGUUUGAGAGAUAAGCGUGCAGUGAUGUGCAGUAGCCCUGGCGGUGGGAAGUGGUGGACAGCUGGAUAUUGGGCUGCCUCUUUUCCUUUAUUUUUUUCUCUCUUGCAUUUAUAAAUAGCACCAUAAUUUAUUCAACGACCAAGGCUCAUUGGCACGGAUUUAUUUGGGUUGCCUCCGGUAUCCCAGGCUAUCAUCACAAAGAAUACUACUCUAGUUUGACCCAAAGUUUUAGCCACCCAUAACCCAAAUCCCUCAAACCCAUUCCUCAACCCAGGUUCCUGGUGCUGGUGGCUUUGAUCUAUCUGCUCUGCGAACUGUAGUUGCGCAAUAAUCUAUUUAACUCACGAGAUAUGCAAAGAGAAGUGCAAUAUUGAUAGUCCCCCAAAAACACGAAAGUUACAAAUACAAACAUCAUGUCUAGUCCCAUUUCACAAUCAUGCAUAUAAAAUGUAAAUAACCCGAUAAAACAGGAACUUUCUUAUAAAAAGAAGUAUACUGACCUACUAAUAAUAACAAAGUAGGAUAUCUCUACACAGAUGUAGGGUAGAUAGCACAUAUAAAGUCACAUGGUUCUAUCAAAUUAGAACUUAC